CAGUCGCCGCGGUAAUACGUAGGUGGCGAGCGUUGUCCGGAAUCAUUGGGCGUAAAGGGAGCGCAGGCGGGCAUGUAAGUCUUUCUUAAAAGUGCGGGGCUCAACCCCGUGAUGGGAAAGAAACUAUGUGUCUUGAGUACAGGAGAGGAAAGCGGAAUUCCCAGUGUAGCGGUGAAAUGCGUAGAUAUUGGGAGGAACACCAGUGGCGAAGGCGGCUUUCUGGACUGCAACUGACGCUGAGGCUCGAAAGCCAGGGGAGCGAACGGGAUUAGAUACCCCCGUAGUCCCUGUCUCUUUACAC
rnacentral:rRNA from 1 species